rnacentral:rRNA from 1 species
ACGGCUCAGUAACACGUAGAUAAUCUACCUUCAAGCCUGGGAUAACUAACCGAAAGGUUAGCUAAUACUGGAUGAAGUUAAUCGGCACAAGUUGAUUGAUGAAAGAUUGCCUAUCCAUGGAAGCAAUUGUUUGGAGAUGAGUUUGCGGACCAUUAGUUAGUUGGUGGGGUAAAGGCCUACCAAGACGAUGAUGGUUAGCUGGUCUGAGAGGAUGAUCAGCCACACUGGAACUGAAACACGGUCUAGACUCCUACGGGAGGCAGCAGUGAGGAAUUUUGCGCAAUGGGGGCAACCCUGACGCAGCAACGCCGCGUGAGUGAAGAAGGCCUUUGGGUCGUAAAGCUCUGUCAACCGGGAAGAAGUUAUGGGAGUCGAACAGGCUUUCAUAUUGACGGUACCGGUGAAGGAAGCAUCGGCUAACUCCGUGCCAGCAGCCGCGGUAAUACGGGGGGAUGCAAGCGUUAUUCGGAAUUAUUGGGCGUAAAGGGCGCGUAGGCGGUUUUGUCGGUCAGAUGUGAAAGCCCAGGGCUCAACCCUGGACGUGCAUUUGAAACAGCAAGACUUGAGUACAGGAGAGGAAAGCGGAAUUCCUGGUGUAGAGGUGAAAUUCGUAGAUAUCAGGAGGAACACCGAUGGCGAAGGCAGCUUUCUGGACCGAUACUGACGCUGAGGCGCGAAGGCGUGGGUAGCGAACAGGAUUAGAUACCCUGGUAGUCCACGCAGUAAACGAUGUACACUCGGUGUAGCGGAUAUUAAAAUCUGCUGCGCCCAAGCUAACGCAUUAAGUGUACCGCCUGGGGAGUACGGUCGCAAGACUAAAACUCAAAGGAAUUGGCGGGGGAGCAC